rnacentral:rRNA from 1 species
UACGUAGGGCGCAAGCGUUGUCCGGAAUUAUUGGGCGUAAAGAGCUCGUAGGCGGUCUGUCGCGUCGGAUGUGAAAGCCCGGGGCUUAACCCCGGGUCUGCAUUCGAUACGGGCAGACUAGAGUGUGGUAGGGGAGAUCGGAAUUCCUGGUGUAGCGGUGAAAUGCGCAGAUAUCAGGAGGAACACCGGUGGCGAAGGCGGGAUCCUGGGCCAGUACUGACGCUGAGGAGCGAAAGCAUGGGGAGCGAACAGG